rnacentral:rRNA from 1 species
CCUACGGGAGGCAGCAGUAGGGAAUAUUGCUCAAUGGGGGAAACUCUGAAGCAGCAACGCCGCGUGACGGAUGACGGUUUUAGGAUUGUAAACUCCUUUUGUGAGAGAAGAUAAUGACGGUAUCUCACGAAUAAGCUCCGGCUAACUCCGUGCCAGCAGCCGCGGUAAUACGGAGGGUGCAAGCGUUACUCGGAUUCACUGGGCGUAAAGCGUGCGCAGGCGGGCUUGUAAGUCAGAUGUGAAAUCCUGUAGCUGAACUACAGAACUGCAGUUGAAACUAUGAGUCUAGAGUGUGGGAGAGGUAGGUGGAAUUCCAGGUGUAGGAGUGAAAUCCGUAGAUAUCUGGAGGAACAUCAGUUGCGAAGGCGACUAUCUGGCACAUAACUGACGCUGAGGAGCGAAAGCGUGGGUAGCAAACAGGAUUAGAUACCCGAGUAGUC